AACGUGCCCAAUAGUGGGGGAUAGCCCGGCGGAAGCCGGAUUAAUACCGCAUGAGACCUGAGGGUGAAAGCGGGGGAUUCGCAAGGACCUCGCGCUAAUGGAGCGGCCGAUAUCAGAUUAGGUAGUUGGUGGGGUAAAAGCCUACCAAGCCGACGAUCUGUAGCUGGUCUGAGAGGACGACCAGCCACACUGGGACUGAGACACGGCCCAGACUCCUACGGGAGGCAGCAGUGGGGAAUUUUGGACAAUGGGCGCAAGCCUGAUCCAGCCAUGCCGCGUGCGG
rnacentral:rRNA from 1 species